AUUGAACGCUGGCGGCAGGCCUAACACAUGCAAGUCGAGCGGGGUUUUCGGACCUAGCGGCGGACGGGUGAGUAAUGCGUAGGAAGCUACCCGAUAGAGGGGGAUACCAGUUGGAAACGACUGUUAAUACCGCAUAAUGUCUACGGACCAAAGUGUGGGACCUUCGGGCCACAUGCUAUCGGAUGCGCCUACGUGGGAUUAGCUAGUUGGUGAGGUAAUGGCUCACCAAGGCGACGAUCCCUAGCUGGUUUGAGAGGAUGAUCAGCCACACUGGAACUGAGACACGGUCCAGACUCCUACGGGAGGCAGCAGUGGGGAAUAUUGGACAAUGGGCGCAAGCCUGAUCCAGCCAUGCCGCGUGUGUGAAGAAGGCCUUCGGGUUGUAAAGCACUUUCAGUAGGGAGGAAGGGUGUUGUGUUAAUAGCACAGCAUUUUGACGUUACCUACAGAAGAAGCACCGGCUAACUCUGUGCCAGCCGCCGCGGUAAAAC
rnacentral:rRNA from 1 species